rnacentral:rRNA from 1 species
UACGAGGGGGGCAAGCGUUGUUCGGAAUUAUUGGGCGUAAAGGGCGCGUAGGCGGUGCGGUAAGUCUGAUGUGAAAUCUCCGGGCUCAACUCGGAGUCUGCAUCAGAAACUGCCGUGCUCGAGUGUGGGAGAGGUGAGUGGAAUUCCCGGUGUAGCGGUGAAAUGCGUAGAUAUCGGGAGGAACGCCUGUGGCGAAAGCGGCUCACUGGACCACAACUGACGCUGAGGCGCGAAAGCUAGGGGAGCAAACAGGG